rnacentral:rRNA from 1 species
UACGUAGGGUGCGAGCGUUAAUCGGAAUUACUGGGCGUAAAGCGCGCGCAGGCGGUCUUCCAAGUCAGUGGUGAAAGCCCGGAGCUCAACUCCGGAACUGCCAUUGAAACUGUUGGACUUGGGGAUGAGAGAGGUGAGUGGAAUUCCCAGUGUAGAGGUGAAAUUCGUAGAUAUUGGGAAGAACACCGGUGGCGAAGGCGGCUCACUGGCUCAUUACUGACGCUCAGGCGCGACAGCGUGGGGAUCAAACAGG